rnacentral:rRNA from 1 species
UACGUAGGGUGCGAGCGUUGUCCGGAAUUAUUGGGCGUAAAGAGCUCGUAGGCGGUCUGUCGCGUCGAUCGUGAAAACUUGGAGCUUAACCCUGAGCUUGCGGUCGAUACGGGCAUGACUGGAGUUCGGCAGGGGAGACUGGAAUUCCUGGUGUAGCGGUGAAAUGCGCAGAUAUCAGGAGGAACACCGGUGGCGAAGGCGGGUCUCUGGGCCGAUACUGACGCUGAGGAGCGAAAGCGUGGGGAGCAAACAGG